rnacentral:tRNA from 1 species
AGUGUUUUAUUUUAUAUUAAAAUAUAGUUUUGAAGAGACUGAGAAAAUAACACUU